rnacentral:rRNA from 1 species
UGUAAGCUAUUAAGGGCGCACGGUGGAUGCCUUGGCAUCAGAUGCCGAUGAAGGACGUGGUACACUGCGAUAAGCCUCGGGGAGUCGUGUGCAGACGCUAUAUCCGAGGAUUUCCGAAUGGGGAAACCCACCAGGGGUUAAUGCCCUGGUACUAAUGCCUGAACACAUAGGGUAUUAGGGGGAACGAGGUGAACUGAAACAUCUUAGUAGCCUCAGGAAAAGAGAUUAUUCCCUCAGUAGUGGCGAGCGAACGGGGAAAAGCCCAAACCAAUGCCUAUAUGGUAUUGGGGUUGUAGGACUUUGCAUAUAGAAGUUACAAAACUGUUUGAUAGCAGAACCUUUCUGGAAUGUUAGGCCAUAGAGGGUGACAGCCCCGUAUGCGAAAUUGAACAGUCUUCUGCAGAGUUCCUGAGUACGGCGGGGCACGCUAACCCUGUCGGAAGCUGGGAGGCCCACCUUCCAAGGCUAAAUACAUCUGAUGACCGAUAGCGAACAAGUACCGUGAGGGAAAGGUGAAAAGCACCCCGGUAAGGGGAGUGAAAUAGAACCUGAAACCGUGUGCCUACAAACGGUCGGAGCACUAUGGCCUUCGGGCAAUGUGUGACGGCGUGCCUUUUGGAGAAUGAGCCAGCGAGUUAAUCUUAGUGGCAAGGUUAAGUCAGAAACAGACGGAGCCGUAGCGAAAGCGAGUCUGAAUAGGGCGUUGUAGUCGCUAGGAUUAGACACGAAACCAGGUGAGCUACCCAUGGGCAGGCUGAAGCGAGGCUAAUCCCUCGUGGAGGGCCGAACCCACUAAUGUUGCAAAAUUAGGGGAUGACCUGUGGGUAGGGGUGAUAUGCCAAACGAACUUGGAAAUAGCUUGUUCUCUCCGAAAUAGCUUUAGGGCUAGCGUCGCGUGUUUAGUAUCGGGGGUAGAGCACUGGAUGAGUUAGGGGGCGCAAGCUUACCGACCUUAACCAAACUCCGAAUACCGAUACUCCAGAGCGCGGCAGUCGGACUACGGGAGAUGAGUUUCGUAGUCGAAAGGGAAACAACCCAGACCGCCGGCUAAGGUCCUUAAAUCUAUGCUAAGUGGGAAACGAUGUGGGGGUGUUUAGACAGCCAGGAGGUUGGCUUAGAAGCAGCCAUCCUUUAAAGAGUGCGUAAUAGCUCACUGGUCAAACGCUCCUGCGCGGAAAAUGUAACGGGGCUUAAGCAUAGUACCGAAGCCACGGGCUUUGACAAUAGUCAGAGCGGUAGGAGAGCGUUCU